rnacentral:lncRNA from 1 species
AAGGACAGAAAAAACCCCUGAAAAUUGCUACCCAGGAUUUCAGCAAAGAAGAUGUAGAGGAGAGAUGGGCCUAUUUCAUGGGAUCCACUGUACCAUGUAACUCCAGAAGUUGCCAGCUGACAGUGAUAAACUGGCCUCUUAAAGGUGCAUGUUAGAUGCCAGCAGCUCAGUGAUACCCCAUGAUGAGUGGUCACAACUCUUUAGGAUGUGGACAGCUCUUAAACCAAUGCAGGUA